rnacentral:rRNA from 1 species
GACGUAGGGCGCAAGCGUUGUCCGGAUUUAUUGGGCGUAAAGAGCUCGUAGGCGGCUUGUUGCGUCGACUGUGAAAAACCACGUCUCAACCGUGGACUGCAGUCGAUACGGGCAGGCUAGAGUUCGGUAGGGGAGACUGGAAUUCCUGGUGUAGCGGUGAAAUGCGCAGAUAUCAGGAGGAACACCGGUGGCGAAGGCGGGUCUCUGGGCCGAUACUGACGCUGAGGAGCGAAAGCGUGGGGAGCGAACAGGAUUAGAUACCGAGUA